rnacentral:rRNA from 1 species
CCUACGGGAGGCAGCAGUGAGGAAUAUUGGUCAAUGGGCGCGAGCCUGAACCAGCCAAGCAGCGUGAAGGAUGACUGCCCUACGGGUUGUAAACCUCUUUUAUAAAGGAAUAAAGUGAGGCACGUGUGCCUUUUUGUAUGUACUUUAUGAAUAAGGAUCGGCUAAAUCCGUGCCAGCAGCCGCGGUAAUACGGAGGAUCCGAGCGUUAUCCGGAUUUAUUGGGUUUAAAGGGAGCGUAGAUGGGUUGUUAAGUCAGUUGUGAAAGUGGGCGGCUCAACCGUAAUAGUGCAGUUGAUACUGGCAGACUUGAGUACAGUUGAGGUAGGCGGAAUUCGAGGUGUAGCGGUGAAAUGCGUAGAUAUAACGAAGAACUCCGAUUGCGAAGGCAGCUUACUAAACUGCCACUGACAUUGAUGCUCGAAAGUGUGGGUAUCAAACAGGAUUAGAUACCCUAGUAGUC